GCUGAAUUGGUCUAGUGGUAUGAUACACCCUUAGGGUCCUUAGCGUCUUCUAUCUGCCUGGGUGUGGUUCUCGGUUCGAUUCCGGGAUUCGGCC